rnacentral:rRNA from 1 species
UCUUCGCUUCGGCAGGCCCUUGCUUACUCCAUCCAACACCUGUGAACUGUAAGGCGCAUGACUAGGUUCGCCCAAGUCAUCGUCUGCCCUUUUUACAAACAAUUAAUGUAACAAACGUAGUCUUAUUAUAACCUAAUAAAACUUUCAACAACGGAUCUCUUGGCUCUCGCAUCGAUGAAGAACGCAGCGAAAUGCGAUAAGUAAUGUGAAUUGCAGAAUUCAGUGAAUCAUCGAAUCUUUGAACGCACCUUGCGCUCUUUGGUAUUCCGAAGAGCAUGCCUGUUUGAGUGUCAUGAAAAUAUCAACCUUGACUUGGGUUUUGUGCUCUAGUCUCGGCUUGGAAUUGGGUGCUUGCCGCUUUUACGAGCGGCUCACCUUAAAUGUAUUAGCUGGAUCUGUCUUUGAGACUUGGUUUGACUUGGCGUAAUAAGUAUUUCGCUAAGGACAUUCUUCGGAGUGGCCUCGUUUCUAGGACGCUUGUCCGCUUUCCAAUACAAGUUCCACCUCGUGGACAUGACUUUUUAUUAUCUGGCCUCAAAUCAGGUAGGACUACCCGCUGAACUUAAGCAUAUCAAUAAGCCG